GCGUGCAUAGUUUAAUGACAGAAUAGCGUCCUUCUAAGACGAAGAUGCGGAUUCGAGUCCCGCUGUACGCU
rnacentral:tRNA from 1 species